ACUACUCCAAACCCAUUGUGAACCUUACCUAUGUUCUGUUGCCUCGGCGGCGUGGUCAGCGCCCCCUCUGAAAAGAGGACGAUGCCCUCCCGCCGGCAGCACCAAACUCUUUGAAUUUUACAGCGGAUUACAGUUCUGAUUUGAAAACAAAAAACAAGUUAAAACUUUCAACAACGGAUCUCUUGGUUCUGGCAUCGAUGAAGAACGCAGCGAAAUGCGAUAAGUAAUGUGAAUUGCAGAAUUCAGUGAAUCAUCGAAUCUUUGAACGCACAUUGCGCCCGGCAGUAAUCUGCCGGGCAUGCCUGUCCGAGCGUCAUUUCAACCCUCGAACCUCCGUUUCCUCAGGGAAGCUCAGGGUCGGUGUUGGGGCGCUACGGCGAGUCUUCGCGACCCUCCGUAGGCCCUGAAAUACAGUGGCGGUCCCGCCGCGGUUGCCUUCUGCGUAGUAAGUCUCUUUUGCAAGCUCGCAUUGGGUCCCGGCGGAGGCCUGCCGUCAAACCACCUAUAACUCCAGAUGGUUUGACCUCGGAUCAGGUAGGGUUACCCGCUGAACUUAAGCAUAUCAUAA
rnacentral:rRNA from 1 species